CAGAAGUGGCUCGGAGAACACAUGUUUGUUAUUUUUGUAGCUAAGUACAGUAUAGGCGCAGUUACGUUCCAUAUGCGAACACACGCCGUUUCCCUUUUCACAACACUGAUCAACUCGUUGUUAGCUGGCAUCACUACCUACCUCGAUGACUGUAGGCAAAGAAAUCUCCUAUUCCAUCGCUAUGGCAGCGAACAUUUCGCCACCAAAUCCCAUGGUUCUCACAGGGGACUGGAAUACUAAUUGGGACAACUCCAAGGAUGAAUUCGAGGACAAUGCGCUGGCGAGUGGGGAAAAAUACAUUUGGCACAAAUUACCUUCAUAAUAUCAAAGAACAAAUGCAUGUGCCUGAUGGGAAAUUAACUUUCAUAUCGCCAAAAGGGGGGACAGCAGAGGAACUUCAUCGAUUCCACUCCAUCAAUACAAGCAGUGAACAUCUGAAAUUCACCCUCAGCUUUGAUGCGCAUGAAACAAGUUAUCUGGACAUUUUGAUUAAGAGGGAGGGGUGUGGCUUUAGCACAGACCUAUACAGGAAGCCGAUGGAGAGGAAUUCCCUGUUACGCGGAGACACCCUACACCCCUAAAAAACAAUUGUAAUACUUGAGUAAAGAAAACAUUUAAAAUGUAAA